rnacentral:tRNA from 3 species
GGCACUUUGGCAGAGUGGUUAACGCGACGCCCUGCUAAGGCGUUUCCCUUUGUGGCAAGUGUUCGAGACACACAUGUGUCG